UUGCAUCAACGCGAAGGCGAGGAAGUUUUUUGUGUUCGAGUGAACGCCAAGGCAAAGGGACAUCAGAGCAAAAUGGCCGCAAAACCGGAGGAUAAAAGCACAGAAUAUACCGGAUCGUCUCUUCGACUCCAAUCAACGCAGGACGUAUAAGCGUAUGCGCUUCUUUGGAAAGGGCGGCUUUGCCAAGUGCUACGAAAUCAUCGAUGUGGAGACCGACGAUGUUUUUGCCGG